rnacentral:rRNA from 1 species
CCUACGGGUGGCAGCAGUGAGGAAUAUUGGUCAAUGGGCGAGAGCCUGAACCAGCCAAGUCGCGUGAAGGAUGACGGCCCUACGGGUUGUAAACUUCUUUUGUCAGGGAGCAAUUGAGUCCACGUGUGGGCUUAGCGAGAGUACCUGAAGAAAAAGCAUCGGCUAACUCCGUGCCAGCAGCCGCGGUAAUACGGAGGAUGCGAGGGUUACCGGGGUUUAUGGGGUUUAAAGGGUGCGUAGGCGGAAUACCAAGUCAGCGGUAAAAAUUCGGGGCUCAACCCCGUCGUGCCGUUGAAACUGGUGUUCUUGAGUGGGCGAGAAGUAUGCGGAAUGCGUGGUGUAGCGGUGAAAUGCAUAGAUAUCACGAAGAACUCCGAUUGCGAAGGCAGCAUGCCGGCGCCCAACUGACGCUGAAGCACGAAAGCGUGGGUAUCGAACAGGAUUAGAUACCCCUGUAGUC